GCGGGUAUGGUGAAAAGGUAUCACGUGAGCUUCCCAAGCUCUAGUUGCGGGUUCGAUUCCCGCUACCCGCUCCA
rnacentral:tRNA from 1 species